rnacentral:tRNA from 1 species
GCGCCGGUGGUGUAAUGGGUAGAUCACUCCCGCCCGGUCAGCAGGAGGUGCGGGUUCGAGUCCCGCCUGGCGCU